rnacentral:lncRNA from 1 species
AGAGGUCUCACCUCUCAACAAGAUGCACCCAGAGCCUAUCAGGUGCUGGUGAUACAACAAUGAGUAUACAAAGGGAGAGAGUAAAAAACAAAAAAGCCUUCUCUCAUGAAGCUUAUCUGAUAGUAGAGAUGAUUCACAUCAUUGUUUUAGCCUCAGCUCCCAUCCACCAUCAGGAAUUUGGCAAUGUUUGUGAUCGAUGAACCAAUCCUAAGAAUAACCAUUACUGUUGAUUUCAAUGACAAUACACAGGAAAAGUUGUGUGACUCAUCUGUCCCUCAGGAUGUCUGAAGCAAUCAAGAUAUUAAUACCUUAGCAUCCAUUGCCAUAAGAACAUGUCAUUCCUUCGUCCAAGAUUUAUGCUACGUAAUAGGGAUGCAAUGAUGGAAAAAAAGAACACAACAGCAAUGAUAAAACCUACAUAAUACACUAACUAGCACAAGUAAGAAUUUCCAUGAAAUUCAAGUAGUAAUGGGAGAAGCACACCAUGCAAUUUAAGAAGAGGCACAGAGUGACCUUCACAUUUCAUUUGGAUUACAGAACCUCAUGAAAUUGUACUUUUUUGUAGAAAUCAAUAGUCUACAACAAACAGAUAUCACCAAAACACUAUAGCUCCAUAUGCCUGCAAAGCUUUGCUGAUCCUCCCAGCAUUUAUUAUGUAUCUGAUUGUGUGGGUGGCCACCCUCAUAAGAGCAGUUGGGACAAAAAUGGUAAAUCUCGUCUUGGAAUUCAAAAGACACCAUAACAGAUGUUAUACAAAAGGAAUGAGAAUACAGAAGGAAGAAAAGAAGAGCUGUUAUGAACCUCUACAGAGAUAAGAUGAAAUGAGAAUGUGGACCAGAGUAUUUCUGUUCAUUGCAUCCCUCACUCCCAAUAACCAUGAGAAUGAUAGGGUGAGGAGGGGACAUCCUCUGGAUAUUUGAAGUGGGCUGGGAAGAAUGGUCUGGACCAUCACCUAUAUCUGAUCCAUCCAGAAAUCCAGGAGUUGGCAGUCUAAGGGUGAUUUUUGUUUCCAAAUGUGGAGCUAGGCAACUGUCUUCUACCACUGGAACAAAAAACCUAGAGAUUACAACCCUGAGAAGGAGGAUCCGCAGGGAUCUGGCCUGGAGAACACCAGAAAUAGGCUGUCGACAUGCUGUAAAAUGUUCUCUCGUGAUGCUGGGCAUCAACAGCGAGCAACAGCUCCCACUCAGCCCCACGAUCAUGAGGGCUGAAUUCCACACUAACACUGCUGGAGGAAUUAGAACACGUCGAAGCAUGAAAGGCUAGAAUGCAGACAUGGGAGCAACUCAACAUCAAACAUGCAGAUGAUGACAACUAACCCGUAGGGAAUAGUAGAACAACAAAAUGGCAGAAACCUGUGUCCUUAAGAGACUCCAUGGAUCAGAGCCACUCUGCUAACCUAGGCCAGCCCAAAUAAAACGUGUCUGAGAAAUAAACUUAUUUAACCUUCUGUA